AGCUGGGCUCCACUGCAGAUAUCCCAAACCUCCAUCUUCUUCCUCGUGCCUCUCUCUCUCUUCUCCAGCUACCGCGUCUCUCCUUUUCUGCAGAAAACACCGAAUUAUCUCCCCCAAAUGCCUCUGCUCUUCGUCGAAUCACCUCCAAAAAUAUCUCCUACCCCACGGCGCCUUGCCUUUUUUUUCACCUAGAGCCAUCCUCCCGCGUCCUGCACGCCGCCACCGCCGCUGUCUCUUGAAUCCGCCGCUGCAAUCCACGACUACGCAGACGCCGUCCAGGGCGCCAACGUCCACGACUCCGCCGACGCCGUCCUCCAACGCCUCGGACGACCACGCCGCCGCCGCCGACCCCCGCCAGCAAGAAGAUCGAGUGCUACAUCCACAUCCUCAUCGCCCACCCCGCCGCCGCCCACCUCAUGAGCGACACUUAUUAUGGAUCGGAGGGAGUAAUAUUUACGGAAGAAGCCUCAGUUAACAAACAUAAUUAGAGAUUUUUGCUAGUGGAUUAGCAUGAGUAUGGAUUGCCAUGAAAUGCUUCAGUGCCAGGAUCUGUUGCUGCUGUUACAGAACCGGAUUCAAUAUCACAUAAACCUGAUCAAUCUAGGCUCUCUGGAAUGGGAGAAGAAAGGAGAAACUACUUCUCGCGGGAAUGCAGAAACGCAGAUGAUGGGGGUACCAGGUAGGAAUUUUCUGAUUACGGGAUUUACGUAUUCAGAGAAAUGGCUAUGAUCCAAGGGGUCAUUUUGCUUGUUCGCUUGUUCUUACUUCUAAUAUUGAAGGACACAGCUUACCACGCUUAAAAUGUUGUCAUCCUAGAAUGGGAAUGUAGAAGCAGGAUCAUGCGAUAUGAUACACGGGUGGGGAAGUAUGACAGAAAGCCUCACCCUGGGCCUGGAGUGCAUUCAGGUGUGCCAGCAGGUGCUUUUAUAGGUCAUUUAGAUGGGAUUACAUUUGUUGAUAGCCUUAGAGACAUGAGUUAUUUCAUCUCCAAUUGCAAUGAUCAGACUACCAAACUUUGGGAUUAUAAGGAGAACUAGGAGACACAGAGUUCGCUUUUGUGCAAUGCAAGCUGUGUGCCAGGCUUUGCUUUGUCAUGCCUUUGUCUAAACGAUUAGAUGAUCUUCUGCUGCAGUUCCAUUUGUCUCGAUUGUGCUUGCUUCUAGAACUAAUUGACGAGUGAUAUUAUCAAAGACAUUGUCUUAGUUCUCGGAUUAAUCUUAUCAGGCAUGUCAUGUUUACUUUUAUAUAAUGCCGGUUAUCAGUGAGUGUCAUGUGUCUUUCCACGCAAAAUCCCCCAAUUGGCCCAUGAGCCAGGGGCCUGCUAGUUUCCCUAAAAAGGUGGCUUCGACCAGGUUGCCAUAACAGUUCCCAUGUGAACAUAGACGCAAGCUCAGCAUUGCAACGUUAGUUCAGUCAUUUUCCAAUCCUGUUGGUUACUGCCUGCCCUCCCCUCAACACCACUAGGUCUUUUUGAUCGUUGCCAGCUAGAUUCUACCUUUCUAAUACAGAUUCUAUACAUGUCGUUAUGAUGAUAUUGUUUUAAUCAGUCGUCCUAGAUUUGUCCAAAAUUGCAGUUCUCCCUUGCUACAGUGAGCAUCAUAAUCAUGGCAUGUUUGAAAGAUACAAAGACAAGCACACAUUAUAUCUGUGGAGAAAGUGCCAAGCGUGCAAAAUACAAGAUUAGAGUGAAAUACUAGGCUUCUUGAGUGCUUCGUAUUUGACUUCUCAUAUGCGAUUCAAGCUUGGAUAGUCAUUCCAAGAUAACAUCCUUUUUUCCUUUCCUUUUGGAGUAAACCUUCGGUUAUAUCUCGGCUUAAAUUAUGGGAUCCUUAAACCUGAACCUUCUAUUUAGAUUGUAGAAGUAUGGGAACAUAAGACUUAGGCACAAAGGGGCAAAGGGAUUUUGUUUUGCCCUGUUCUACUAGUAUGUCAUGUAGAGAACUAUUUCAACAUGCAGCGUUCCUUAAUUAAGAGGUAACACAUGUGCUCUGGUUCACAGAUCACAAUUUAGACAUGCUAUUGCUGAACAUCUCCAGGUGCAUAAUUUUGUAUCAGCUAAAGAUCUUGGCUCUGAUCUAUCUUUUGUUCAGCUUGGAA